UACGUAGGGGGCAAGCGUUGUCCGGGAUUUACUGGGCGUAAAGAGCGUGUAGGCGGCCAAAGCAGGUCCGUUGUGAAAACUGGAGGCUUAACCUCCAGACGUCGACGGAACCGCGCGCUAGAGUCCGGAAGAGGAGAGUGGAAUUCCUGGUGUAGCGGUGAAAUGCGCAGAUAUCAGGAGGAACACCGGUGGUGUAAACGGCUUUCUGGACCAUAACUGACGCUGAGGCACGAAAGCGUGGGUAGCAAACAGG
rnacentral:rRNA from 1 species